GUCUUAUUGAAAAUAAUUUUAAGUCAAAUCUGCUCAAUGAUAAAUUUAAAUAGCUGCGGUAUUAAUAACUGUACAAAGGUAGCAUAAUAAUUAGUUUUUUAAUUGGAAACUAGAAUGAAUGAUUUAAUGAAAUAAAAACUGUUUCAAAUUUAUAAAAUAAAUUUUUUUUUAAAUAAAAAAAUUUAAAUUUUUUUUAAAGACGAGAAGACCCUAUAGAAUUUUAAAAUUUAUUUAAGUUUUAGUUAAUUUUAAAUUAAUUUUUUAUUUGGGGAAAUUUUAAAAUUUAAUAAAUUUUUAAUUAAAUUUACAAUAAUUUUUGGAUUAAAAAUAUUUUUUAAAAAAAUAAUUUAAAUUACCUUAGGGAUAACAGCAUAAUUUUUUUUAAAAGUUCUUAUUAAAAAAAAAGUUUAU
rnacentral:rRNA from 1 species